rnacentral:rRNA from 1 species
AUACGAAGGGGGCUAGCGUUGUUCGGAAUUACUGGGCGUAAAGCGCGCGUAGGCGGACUGAUCAGUUGGGGGUGAAAUCCCAGGGCUUAACCCUGGAACUGCCUCCAAUACUGUCAGUCUUGAGUUCGGGAGAGGUGAGUGGAAUUCCUAGUGUAGAGGUGAAAUUCGUAGAUAUUAGGAAGAACACCAGUGGCGAAGGCGGCUCCCUGGACUCAAACUGACGCUGAGGUACGAAAGCGUGGGUAGCAAACGGGAUUAGAAACCCCAGUAGUCC